GGACUGGCAGCCAAAGGAGAAGUGUUUCUACUUGGAGAUUGCCUUCUUUGGUGGUUUCUAGCAAGCCUUGACACUCAGAAACAGUUCUAUAGGAAAACAGACUGAGGAAGCUGUGACAAAACUCUAUCACAAAGCCAACUGAUCCACUUCAGAGAUCUCAAGUGGUGGGGAGUACGGUUUCAGUAAUCUUCUGAUGUGAUGAUUCAAAGAUCUCCACAUGCACUGACUUUCCAAGCCUGCUGAUGUAACAGACUUUUUGCUAUGUGAACAAAACAGUUGAUAUUUCAUCAUGGAAUUAGAGGAGAAGGAACACAGUCUGGCAGCUUGCUUCAGUUGCAGGAGGUGCUCUAGCUUUCCUGAACCUGGAGCUUCAGCCCUGAUGAGAAGUGCUUGCACUAUUUGUUCAGACCUCUUCUAUGGGCAAGUUGUGUCAAGUUUUGCAGCCUUGUGCUUCAAAUAAUGUAAUGGGUUGAUGGUUUCAUUGCAAGAUUUUGAAUGCAAACUCAGGGGGUAAAGUAUUAUGCUCAUUUCCUGUAGUGUUUUUCGUCUCUCUGUUUUCCACACUGUCUUCAUUUUACUGGACUUGAAUACUGGAUGUGCCACAUGCUAUUAAAGGUACACUAUCCAGACAAUAAGCAGAUAUUUUUCAUGAAGCUUUUAAAAUGUGAUCAGUAAGUCAAUUUAAAAUUGAGUUUUACAAAGCUGAGAUUCAUUUGCCGCAGUCAUCUUAAACAAUAAAGCACUUAUUAUAAUACAUAGCACAUUUAAUCCCAUGUAUAAUUUAUGGGCGUGCCAGUUAGAUCAUCAGAAGUCUGACAAGAAAGCAAAGGAAUGAGUGGCUGACUGCAGAGAAACUUUCCUCAUGGAAAUGUCAUGUCUUCCUAUGGUUUAAAUAGCUGUUGACUAAAACACCCGUUUAAGCUUAUUUUUUCACUAACAUACACUUAGAAAAAUAUAUUUCUUUUAUUUUUAAUUUUUGAAAUGAAAUGGCUUUAAGUGCCUCCUUUUCUAACUGCUUAAAUUAUACAUCUAAUUUUUCUUCAUUGUGGCGAAGUAUCAAAGUUACAGCUUAAAAAAGGAAGAGUUGCUGAACAUUCCUGGGGCUGUAUCUGUCAGCUAGAAACACUUCUUUGCAGCAGGAGUCUUAUCCUGAACAAGUUGUAGAGCAUCCUGCGUGAUGUACUUUUCAUUACAAUAUAAAAUGUAGUAAUUUUGGAGGGUGCUUGAGCUAGCUGUCAGUGACCAAUCCUUACAAUUGAAAAUGGCUAUAAGCAAGGUUUUGGGUUGUUCUUUACAAUAUGCUGCAUUCCAAUGUAAAACUGAAAAUCUGACUGUCUUCAGAUCUCUAGAGAAUAACAAAAUAAUAGGAGUUGGAAGGGACCUCUUGAUAUCAUCCAACGUUUUUGAUGACAUCUUUCUAGAAAGAAAUCUUUUUCUGGGUAGUUUUUCAACUAUCUUCAUAGUUUUAAGACACACUUUUUUUUAAAAAAAAUUUACUUCAUCUUCUUUGACCAUGCAUGUAAUAACCCUGGACUACUCAGCAUACAGUUUUGUUUGAGAAUA